rnacentral:pre_miRNA from 1 species
UACAAUAUUUUAACUCUUCGUUUUAUUUAAAAAAUUUUGUGAUUAAUAUUUUUAUUAUUACUAGAUGAUAAAACAUGAAUAGUACUUUAUGCGUGACUAAUUUUUUUAAGUUUUUGUAUAAAUUUGUUAAAUAAGGCGAAUAGUCAAACGUUGGACACGGAAA